UUUUCUUUCUUUUUUUUUUCAAUUUCUUUUCUGUUUAUUUUUACCUUUGUUUUACAAAUUAUAAAUCUAGCCCCUAAGUUAGUACUAAUACUUAUGACACUGCCAUAAUUGAUUUGGCAACCUAAACAAUUAGUUUAUAUUUGUUUAGUAUUUAAAAGACAUUUAAAUAUUAGUUUUACUGCCACUUUUUUUAUUAAUUUAGCGCCUUUAACUAAUUUAUAAAAAGAUGUUUUCUCCACCAAUAAUUACCUACGCAUUAUUUGUCACCUCUCGAACAUUUUAGUUUUAAAGUUUGAAAACUUUUGAUGUUUGCCUUGAUUUUCAAAUUUGAAUUUGGAUCGGUUUCGAACUAAUGCGAGAUUAACAACAGUAACCGAGGUGACAUGGCAUCAUUAGCGUGGAAUUACUGUAGCUUAAUUAUCCGGGCGUCACAAUUCUCCUCCACUACAAGAAAUCUCGUCCCGAGAUUUAAGAGGUAGUGAAAGGGGGAAGGUUUGGUAACGAAUCUAGCGGGUCUUCUCAUCCUGGCUUGCUUUUCUCGAAGAGGCCGGUCCAAUACAUUGAUGUCUUCAUUUCUCUGCUUCGGGCCAUCAUGAUGAAGUUGCCGACCUUCCGUCAGGAUCUUCCUCGUACUUACGAAGUAAUAAGAGUGGAAAACUUUAUAAGGAUGGAUUCUAACAAGAUUGGGCAUCGGACGAUUAACUCAGGGGAAGAAGCAUAAGUAUCUCUCGAAUUGAACUUUUAGAAGAUAUAGAGAGCAAAGUAAGAAGGUACCACGAGACGUUUGAAACGGAUAGGCAAUCGUUCGAUGUCUGAACAAGGUGCGAAAGGGGUCCAGGGCAACGAGACUAAGUGUUGCGUCUGUUACCAAAAUGGAUCACUAGGAAGGUGGCCCGUGAAUUACAUUUGAGGCCACGUGCGAGGAAUAACUUUGGAAACCGGGGGUUGUACAGGAGUCAGGUUUCGUUCCUGUGGAACUGUGGGUUAUGGGCCCACCAUGUGGGUUAAAAGUAGGAAGGGCGGUGACAUCUUGCACGAUCAUGUAAGCAAGGCAUGUCAGAGGAUAGCCUGUCAGUUAUGUCGGCAACAACAUCGAUACCAAGGGCGAGGGACGAAGAGAACCAUUUUCCUGCUCGUUGAAUGAGGCGGACCAAUAGGCAAAGUUCUUGUCCAUCGGUGGUUACCGAAUGUCAUCAACAAUAGUAACAGGGUCUUUCUGACAGAAUUGUACACUGAGGUGUUUACAAUAGCAGGAGAAUAUUACUGCUUAGGUCAUACAGAUCACAAGAAAGGCUAAACCAAACAAUGGAAAGGAAAAUAUGAUUAUUAGGUUUAAGUAGAACAAUGGAAAGGAAAAUGUGUUUAAACACAUAUUUCAAGGGUAUAUCCUUCUCAAGGACAAGCAGAGCAUGAUAUCCAUGACAGGAUAUAAUGUAGAAAACUCUUUAGGUAAGGGGAGAGAAAUUUCAUGACAUUACCCAUACAAUGUUGUUUGAAUAAUUGAUAACAAAAAUUUAGCAUUGUGCUUCAAAUGUUUUUAAUGAAGAUCGGAGUACCACAGACAUGCUUCGAGAUAGCAUUGACAUGGUCAUUGGGUAAAGAUCGGACUUUGGAAACACAAAGGAUCCAUCAGGAACUGCUUGUAGAAUAAGUCUUACAAUUUCCUCAUGGAAGAAAAGAUAACCUUGCUAAUAAGGAAACUAUAACCGUAGGUCCUCCGGUCAGAUGUGCUGGGCAUGACAUCACCUUACCGUGUCAUAUAGAGACCAAUGUUAUAACUCUUGGAAUUAGGUUUCAACCAUCAUAUCUGAACGAGAUUCAGAUCUGAUUGGGGUCUAGAUACAUCAGACUCGGAAUGCCUAAGAAGAAAAAGGUGCAACACCAAUUGACGAGAUGACAUUGUAAGAUUCUCGGGAAAUGAACUAUGGAAGCAAGUUCUGAGACAAGGGUUCGUCAUUAAAUCAAGGAGAGGUGAGGAGGUGACUGAUUGACUCAGCGACAAUCCAUUGAGAUUUCCAAAAGAUGGAUUUCCACAACUAUGUGAACAAGGAGAUAACAUUAGCUAGAUCGAAUGACUUAAUGAUGUAUGCUCGAGGAAAACAUACACAGUUAAACAUUGGUUGAAAUGUGCACCCGAAAUAUGGGCUAGGUAGCACGAUCAAUAAUCGAAUGAUGAUUCAAUAAGCCAUAGACGUAGAAUGAAACUAUAGACCAAUAACUUCAAAGCAAUGGGUUGCUAGGAGUUUAGAAUUUACACAUCACAGACCAUUUGUCGCUAUUUCGGUUAGAAACAACACGGGGACCAAGAAAGAAUGGGGGUGGUGAGAAGUAUCACUGUACCAAGAAUUCUUAAGAGGUGGAGUAAUCCUCACGACAUUCUUGACAUCAAAGAUGGUAAUACUCCACGGUAGAACAUAACAUAAGUUGGAUAGUAGGGAAAUCAAGAUACAACACAAAAUAUGAACAAGUUUGUGUUGGGGGGAGGCAAGAAUGUUGUCGAUGAUAACACAAUUCAUCGAGGGGCAAGGAUGGUAUUUCUCAUCCUGAAUUUCAACACACAACUUGGAAGAAGUCAAAUUGUUGACAAUGAUCACGACAAAUUUGUCGGGAGGUUUUCAAGAAGAUGUAAUUGAUCGAUGAUGACAUCAAGUCAAAGGAAUGAUGAAAGCGAAAGGUUAUUGGAACCACGGUUAGGACACAAACUCAAAAUCAAGUUUGCUGUUCAAGGAGAAGUGAUAUGACGAGGAAGAUCGACGCAAGAUUAGCUCACUGUCAAAAUUUGUGCGCUGGUAAGGUCCAGGUAGCACAGUUAAAAUCGGCACGAUAAUGACAUAGCCGAGCAAGCUAGGAAUGACUUGAAGGAUUAUUAAACUCGUAAGCAACAAAAAUUACUUAGAGUUAUUGAAUCGGAGUGCGGAAUUGAUUCACUUAUCGGUGUCUUUGAGGGGUUCUAACAACUCAGAACCCGUUGGAAAAAUGGAAUCGGCAAGAAUAUUAGUUGAUGAAGAACUCAUAAGAAGUUAAGUAGUUCCUUGGCAUUCUCGAGAUACCAGGUGGGUAAUACUCGACGACAGACCAAAGUAGAGGUUGGACGGGGGUAUUGCUCUGCAGAGGACAAGUGCUUAAACUUGCACGAGAAAUGGUUUUUAAAGGAGAACAUGGUCGAAACCACGAUUGCAAAAGUAUCAAUACACAGAUACUAGACGAUAUCAUAUCAAGGAAAUAGUUAUUAUUACAAGAAGCUUCUAUGAUAGGAUCUACAUCGUGUCCAUGGGCAUGAACACAAAGUUCAAGGUCGACUCCCACUUCUCCAAUGCAUACCCUUUCAUUCACUUCUCGCGUUUGAUGAAGUUGCAGUGUUGAAAAUUUUUAUCUGGCAAAAUACCAGAAGAGUAUGACUCAUGAAAACUUUUGAGUUCACACAUGCUAUGAAAGGCAUAGGUUCAACCCAUCAGGGCAUCGUGGAAACAUAUACCACAAGCUUCAGGGGUAAAUAACUCAAGCUCGAUAGUAGAGCAUGUGUGACAAAACGAGAGGAUACAAUUUACUAAAGGCAUUAUGUAUCAGGGAAAGAACUUCCAAAGUGAUUGAAUAUGAAGGACGUUGUCGGAUAAAAUCCAACAAGGUUUUGAUGGUCCAUAAAGGAUCUGAUGUGAGUAUCGGUACACAACCAGAGGUAGAAUCAAUGCAAAGACCUUGGAUUAUAGAAACAACUAAGUAACUUAGAGCUCAAUUGCAAAGGAAUUAUGAUUUACAAAGCGAAGGAUCAGAAACAGACGCUCUAAUCAAGGAUGGAUAAGUUCAAUAGACAUAGGGGCAAAAUCGACGACAAUUUGAUUGGCGAGAACCAGCUCAUGUUUCAAAUGACGUCUGAGCCGGAAGGAUGAAUUCUAGGCUCUGAUUAAGGAUUGCGAGCAUUCGCAACAGAUUGAAUCAACGGACUUACGAUUACGAGACUUAAGAUUAAUCAUAAUGCAAGUAAGCAAGAAUUUCAAGAGCAAAAGGCUCCUGAGGAUUUUCGGAAGAUCGAAUGGUAUUUUGAACACUUUUGUGAAAUACUUGAAUCAACUGGGGAUGAGCAGAUACUCGGUAAGUGCGAGAAUUAUCCGUAGGGGUAUUCAGGUGACAAAGAACAACAAGGCAGUAAGCUUAAAGGAUUCUUGGAACAACAGAGAGAAUUUCGGGGUAUCUUGUAAUAAAAAGAUCACCUGGGAAACAUUGUAUGAAUGGCGAGUAUACGUGGUUAUCCAUAGGAGUUUAUCGAUGAAAGGGAAUUGCAAAAGCGAUGAACACAAGUUCUCGGGUUAUCAGUGGAGAGUAUGUUCAGGGUCUUCACGUGCAGCAGACGAUCAUCAGUAAUAAGGGGCUCUCCGGGUGAAAGUGAUAAUGAGAUCCUAAUGUUAGAUUUAGCAAAACUCACUUAACCUGAAUAGAAGAGAGAUCAGAGUCCCAGAGUAUAGAAAAGGAGUAAAAGAUCCUAAUGCCACCCAAUGGCGAUGUGGGCCCGUAAGCCACACAGCCAUGUCAGUAAAAAUUUAGCAAUGACUAGACUCAACUUCGGCCAAGGAGUUGGAAAGGGGGAUUCCUACAGGCAGUCGGCUCUGAUACCAACUUGUGGCGCCCCCGAUUCGACCGUACACUAAUCAUGCACGCAAAUGUGUACGAUCAAGAUCAGGGACUCACGGGAAGAUAUCACAACACAACUCUACAAUAUAAAUAAGUCAUACAAGCAUCAUAAUACAAGCCAGGGGCCUCGAGGGCUCAAAUACAAGUGCUCGAUCAUAGACGAGUCAGCGGAAGCAACAAUAGCUGAGUACAGACAUAAGUUAAACAAGUUUGCCUUAAGAAGGCUAGCACAAAAGUAGCAAUGAUCGAAAAGGCAAGGCCUCCUGCCUGGGACCUCCUAACUACUCCUCGAAGCCGAACUCCACGUAGAAUCAUCCUCGGGAUCUCUAGCUCCUGGACUCCAGCAUCUGGUUGCGACAACUAGGUAUAGAAAGAGGAAAAGAGGGAGAAAAGCAACCGUAAGUACUCAUCCAAAGUACUCGCAAGCAAGGAGCUACACUACAUAUGCAUGGGUAUAUGUGUAAAGCGCCAUGUCGGUGGACUGAACUGCAGAAUGCCAGAAUAAGGGGGGGAUAGCUAAUCCUGUCGAAGACUACGCUUCAGGCAGCCUCCAUCUUGCAGCAUGUAGAAGAGAGUAGAUGGUAAGUUCACCAAGUAGCAUCGCAUAGCAUAAUCCUACCCGGCAAUCCCCUCCUCGUCGCCCUGUUAGAGAGCGAUCACCGGGUUAUAUCUGGCACUUGGAAGGGUGUGUUUUAUUAAGUAUCCAGUUCUAGUUGUCAUAAGGUCAAGGUACAACUCUGGGUCGUCCUUUUACCGUGGGACACGGCUAUUCGAAUAGGUAAUCUUCCCUGUAGGGGUGCACCACAUAACCCAACACGCUCGAUCCCAUUUGGCCGGACACACUUUUCUGGGUCAUGUCCGGCCGUGGAAGAUCAACACGUCGCAGCCCCACCUAGGCUCAACAGAGAGGUCAACACGCCGGUCUAAAUCCUAUGCGCACAGGGGUCUGGGCCCAUCGCCCAUUGCACACCUGCACGUUGCGUACGUGGCCGGAAGCAGACCUAGCCUAGCAGGCGUUCCAGUCCAAUCCGGCGCGCGCCGCUCCAUUGCUGACGUGAAGAAGAGCUUCGGCUGAUACCACGACGUCGAGUGCCCAUAACCGUUCCCGCGUAGUUGGUUAGUGCGUAUAGACCAAAUGGCCAGACUCAGAUCAAAUACCCAGAUCUCGUUAAGCGUGUUAAGUAUCCGCGAACGCCGACCAGGGCCAGGCCCACCUCUCUCCUAGGCGGUCUCAACCUGCCCUGUCGCUUGGCCAUAAAGUAACAGUUGCGGGCCGUCAGGAACCCAGGCCCACCUCUACCGGGAUGGAGCCACCUGUCCUUUCAGCCCCCUCAUCAGAAUCACUUGCGGGUACUCAACGAGCCGACCCGACUUUAGUCACCACAUGUAUCAUGUAUAAAGUAUGUAGUAUAUACCCGUGAUCACCUCCCGCAGUGAUCACGGCCCAGUAGUAUAGCAUGGCAGAUGGCAAGAAUGUAGGGCCACUGAUGGAAAAACUAGCAUCCUAUUCUAAGCAGUAGGAUAGCAGGUAAGGGCAACAACUGUAGCAACAAUGAGAGGCUAUGCAACAGAAUAGGAUUAACCGAAAGCAGUAACAUGCUACACUACUCUAAUGCAAGCAGUAUAGAGAAGAAUAGGUGAUAUCUGGUGAUCAAGGGGGGGGGGGCUUGCCUGGAAGCUCAGCUGAGAAGGAGGGUCGCCGGGGACGUAGUCGUACACAGUGGCAUCAGCGCCGGUCUCGGGGUCUACCGGAGAAGAAGAUGGGGAAGAAACAGUAAAUACGGAGCAAACAAAGCAUCACAAAAUAUAACAAGGCAAUACGCGGUGCCGGGGGUGAUCUAACGCAGCGAUAGGUAAUACCGGCGAAGUGGGAAACAUCCGGGAAAGUAUCCCCAGCGUUUCGCGUUUUCAGACAGGUGAACCGGAGGGGAAAAGUUGCGUGUUUGCUAUGCUAGGGAUGGGUGGUAAACGAACGGACCACGUAUUCGGAUUCCUCUCGUCGUUUUGAGCAACUUUCAAGUACAAAGUAUUUCCAUCCUAGUCACGGAUUAUUUUAUAUGAUUUUUCAAAGUUUUAUCAAUAUUCUAGAUUUUCUAAAUUACCUUUAAUUCGAAUUGACCAAGUCAAUUUGACUAGUCAAAAGGAGAGGUGUGACCCACAUGUCAUAGGCUAUAUGUAAACAAAAUAAUUAAAAUCUAACUUUAACUAAAUGGGGUCCACCUACCAUAGGCUAGCAACUAACAUAACAAAGAUUACCUAAGUAGUCUAAACUAGCCUAAACUAAUUAAGCCGGCCACACACAACGCCUACGCACACAUGGCCAUAGCCACCACUAGCAGCAGCCAGCGAUUGCAAGCAGCAGUAACAGCAGCAAAGCAACACUAGCGGCGGUAGCAACUACAGGCAGCCGAAGCAGCGCAGUAUCAGGCAGAGGAAGCAGCAGGAAAGAGCAGCAGCGACAUCAGUCAAUAGCAGCAGGCACGGCAAGGCAACAUCAGCAGAAGGCGAGAAGGGGCACUGCACGCGCGCACGCUGGCUAGCGUAGUGGGGCAGCAGCAACGGCAGUGGCAGCGUCGCAACCAGCAGCAGGUAGAGCAGCGUGCAACCGCGGCGGCGCAGGGCAGCAACAGCUGUGGUAGCAAGGGAGGAGGAGCGCAGGCGCAUGCGAUGCCCAAGGGCACGGGCAUGGGUGGCUGGCGAGGGCGCGACCAGGAACACGUGGGCACGCACGCGGACGAGAGGUUUCGGCCAUGGCGCUUGAGCUCGUGGGGAUGACGACACGGCAACGAAUCGAUGGAGUAAAGGCCGGGACUCGGAGGAGGUGCUCACCCCGAUGGUCGUGGACGAGGUUGGGAGGCCGGCCGUGGCCGGGAUGCGACGAGGAGCCGCCGGCAGAGACGGGCGGCGCCAGCCGGCGACGGGGCGUAGGGGUGAGGCGGCGGGGUCGGGGCGCCGUUUCCCCCGAUCCAAUUAGUUUAUAUUUGUUUAGUAUUUAAAAGACAUUUAAAUAUUAGUUUUACUGCCACUUUUUUAUUAAUUUAGCGCCUUUAACUACUUUAUAAAAAGAUGUUUUCUCCACCAAUAAUUACCUACGCAUUAUUUGUCACCUCUCGAACAUUUUAGUUUUAAAGUUUGAAAACUUUUGAUGUUUGCCUUGAUUUUCAAAUUUGAAUUUGGAUCGGUUUCGAACUAAUGCGAGAUUAACAACAGUAACCGAGGUGACGUGGCAUCAUUAGGGUGGAAUUACUGUAGCUUAAUUAUCCGGGUGUCACACCCCUCCUGGAAAAGCC
rnacentral:lncRNA from 1 species